rnacentral:tRNA from 1 species
GGCCUGUAGCUCAACGGGUAGAGCAGUCGCCUCAUAAGCGACCACGCGCGGGUUCGACCCCUACCGGGCCACCA